rnacentral:rRNA from 1 species
AUUGAACGCUGGCGGCAGGCCUAACACAUGCAAGUCGAGCGGAUGAGGAAAGCUUGCUUUUCGAUUCAGCGGCGGACGGGUGAGUAAUGCCUAGGAAUCUGCCUGUUAGUGGGGGAUAACUCGGGGAAACUCGGGCUAAUACCGCAUACGUCCUACGGGAGAAAGUGGGGGAUCUUCGGACCUCACGCUAACAGAUGAGCCUAGGUCGGAUUAGCCAGUAGGUGAGGUAAUGGCUCACCUAGGCGACGAUCCGUAACUGGUCUGAGAGGAUGAUCAGUCACACUGGAACUGAGACACGGUCCAGACUCCUACGGGAGGCAGCAGUGGGGAAUAUUGGACAAUGGGCGAAAGCCUGAUCCAGCCAUGCCGCGUGUGUGAAGAAGGUCUUCGGAUUGUAAAGCACUUUAAGUUGGGAGGAAGGGUAUUCACCUAAUACGUGGGUACUUUGACGUUACCAACAGAAUAAGCACCGGCUAACUCUGUGCCAGCCGCCGCCGUAAGAC